GCACAGGCGCUUAGUCGUUAGUGACUAUAGCAAUACCUUUCCCCUCAUUUCUUAAAACGACCUCCACUCUUGCCUUUCUAGCACUGGGUUUGUUAAAUGUGUAACAACAAUAAACUCAAGCUGCUGCCUUUAUUUUUUUUCUUCAGAAUGCUGGGCUGGAACCCAAGCUUUCACCAUGCUAGUUCUGAGUAGCCCGAGAAGAGGUGCAAAAGCGCAACAGUAAGAGCACCUUUGGCAAUUUGUCAAGACUUUACAUUUAGACCGAAGUAAGGCAACACCUCCAAGGUAACAGUAACUGACACCAUUCAAAUUCGCAAGAAAAAGAAUGAACAAAACUCAUUAGGGAUUGACGCUGCGUUUCCCACCGAUGCUACUGCUGGUCUUUGAGUUUUUAUUUUAGGGGAGCAUGAACAUAUUUCACCACUACCACAGAUUAUGCAGUCAAGUUUGCCACAUUUGAGAAAAUCACAGGAGACAGCGCACCCAGGGUGCAACAGUGUUCCCUGAGCCUUAGGUAUGGGAGUUGUUGUGUUGUGAAUGCGUCAGUUAUGGAUGGAAAACCCACAAUCAGCUGUUCUCUGCAUUUGGACCAGAUGUGGUUUUCUCUAGUGGUCUCUGCUUCAGUGGGAACCUUGGAUGAAAGGACUGCUAUGAUACACAGAAAUGCCUCCCGAUGAAAAUAUAAUACAUAAAGAAAAAUAAAUAAGGCCAGAAGGAUGGCUUAGCAGAUAAAGGCCGCAUAAACCUGAUGACCUGGAAGACGAAAACUAACUCUGCAAAGUUGUCCUCUGACCUCCACAUGGAUCUCCACAUGUAUGUAGUGGCACACAAAUA